UCCAGCCUGGGCAACAGAGCAGGACUCUGUCUCAAAAACCUCUUUUGGAAAUUUUCCAAGAAGAGAUGUUUACUGGAACUAGAAAUUAGAAGUUACAUCUAACAUUCCUUCCAGCAUGAAAUUCUGAACUCAGCCAAUUUUGAUCAGAGGUCCUUAUUUUUUUCAUGCCACAUUUGAAGCACACAUCAAUGUUUUUUUCAUUUUUAUACAAUUCUUCUUGCUGCAACAAAAAUAUGUAUAUGAUAUAAAGGUUAAAGAUACUGAAAAUGAAGUAAAGAAAAACAUUAGAAAUUAAGAGUUCAAUUUUACAGGCAGAGAGUUAUACAUGAUACAGUGGGAGGAGUGGGCAUAGGAACGUUUCCUUUUCCUUACUAAUAAAAAAUAGUAAUUGUCUAUUUAAAUACAUUAACUUCAACCUGGUAAAUCACUCUCAGACCUUGACAGAAGGUCAAAACUUUAUAAAUAGCAAUAUAAGUGAAAAAAUAUAAACCAAAGAUAAAAGCUCCAAAUGUUAUUUUUCUUAAAAACUAUUAUAAUUUUGUAGUUCAAUGAUCCAAUGAUUUUGUUUUCCCCUACAGAAAAAAAGGGGUAUCUGUACAGAUCUAAAAGUUAUUAUUCAAGGAAUCUAAACUUGAGUGAUCCUGUUUUCAAAUGUCAGACCACCACUUACUCAUGCUUUAUUUUUAUUAAUACGUGCAAAGGACAAGCAAAAAGUUAAAUGCAUGCUCUGUCUCACAUGUGGAACCCAGAAUUUGUUGGAAGUAUUCCACCAAGUUUUUAUUAAGCCUACUUCCAUAUUCAGGACUCAUAGUGGCCAAUCUAACUUCUUUAAGGCCUGUAACAACAACUCCAGACUGCCAUUAGGAUUCCUACCCCCAUCUCACAAGAGAAUUACAAAGUAGUCGCUUACAUCAUUUGGAAUUACAAUUGUCAGUAACACAAAUGAAAUUCCUGAGUUCAAUACUAAACAAAGAAAAUGAGACAGCAACCCUAUCCUCUGGGGAGCUAAUGUUCUCAGGCAACCACUUCACAAAGAUAAUAUAUUAGAGGACAACUGCAUAGAAACUGUCCAGUUUCUGAGGCAGUCCCUAUCCUAAAUACUCUGACCUGUUAGCCACAUAAAUGUAAUUGUACUAGUCACAGCAAGUCUCUGGAACUUUAAUUCAGAAUAUAUAUUUCAGAAGAAUAGUAAGAGACAAAAGCACAGAUUUACAUGGAAAGUAUCUACACUUAACUGCUUAUAUUUCAAACUUUGCAAAGAGUCGCUGUAUUUCAUAGGAUGCUGAGUAAGACCAUGAAACAGGGCAGGAUCUAAAGAAUGAAGAACUGGAGACCCAUCCAGGACCCCAACAAUGACAGGUUAACCAAAUAGGGUCAAUCCUUGAAAAAAGAUGAAGCAGGGGCACUAGUCUGCAGGACUUGUUUCCACAGAUUCCAUUCCUCCUUCAUGUCCCCCAGCCUCACAUGCCCAAAGUGCUGACUCAUCUGGACUUUCCCUUGCCCUUCUUCCAAAGCAGGGCCCCAUGUAUUCAUGGAGGUUACAUGGCAGGUGGAGAAGUAAUAAAAUCAGUUAUGUAAGUCACAUCGUACUAAGUGCUAUUUUUAAAAUAUUGAACACAUUGAUAGGUUGUGGUCCUCAACCCUGCAUGAACAUUAAUCAUCAUCGUGGAAGCUUUUUAAAAUACAAAUAACUGGGCCCCACUCAACCAAUUAAAUCAGAAUCUGUGGGAAUAGGCCCAACAAGCAGCUUUUUUUAAAAAGGUCCCUAGAUGAUUACAAUGUACAGCCAAGUGGGAGAACCACUAGCAUAGAGUGGCCAGGGGCUGUUAUUCGUUUCAGUUGGCAAAAGGAUGGCCUUUUCAAAAUGAUGUUUGAAUUGUAACUUAAAUUGUCGGGGCAGGACAACCCAAUUCCUGGGCAAUGGGGACAGCUAACCCCACUUCAGUGAUUUAUCCCUUCGUUUCCUUUCUCAGUAACAAAUAACAGCACUCUACCAGCCCCAAAGAGAUUGUGAGGAUAACAGACAUGGGAAAAAA